rnacentral:rRNA from 1 species
AGUGAACGCUGGCGGUAGGCCUAACACAUGCAAGUCGAACGGCAGCACAGUAAGAGCUUGCUCUUACGGGUGGCGAGUGGCGGACGGGUGAGGAAUACAUCGGAAUCUACUUUUUCGUGGGGGAUAACGUAGGGAAACUUACGCUAAUACCGCAUACGACCUACGGGUGAAAGCAGGGGAUCUUCGGACCUUGCGCGAUUGAAUGAGCCGAUGUCGGAUUAGCUAGUUGGCGGGGUAAAGGCCCACCAAGGCGACGAUCCGUAGCUGGUCUGAGAGGAUGAUCAGCCACACUGGAACUGAGACACGGUCCAGACUCCUACGGGAGGCAGCAGUGGGGAAUAUUGGACAAUAGGCGAAAGCCUGAUCCAGCCAUACCGCGUGGGUGAAGAAGGCCUUCGGGUUGUAAAGCCCUUUUGUUGGGAAAGAAAAGCAGCAGGUUAAUACCCCGCUGUUCUGACGGUACCCAAAGAAUAGGCACCGGCUAACUUCGUG